rnacentral:rRNA from 1 species
GACAGAGGGGGCAAGCGUUGCUCGGAAUUACUGGGCGUAAAGGGCGCGUAGGCGGGAUGGCAAGUCGGUCGUGAAAUCCCUCGGCUCAACCGAGGAACGUCGAUCGAUACUGCUGUUCUUGAGGAUUGCAGAGGAGACUGGAAUUCCCGGUGUAGCGGUGAAAUGUGUAGAGAUCGGGAGGAACACCGGUGGCGAAGGCGGGUCUCUGGGCAAUUCCUGACGCUGAGGCGCGAAAGCGUAGGGAGCAAACGGG